UUCACCUGUGCUCCUCUGGCUGCCUUACUGCUCGCCUCAGGUGAUCAAUCAGAGGUUCAGGCCGUGACUCAGCAGUUCCCAUACAAAGGCCAAGAUGGAUGGUGCCCUGGGCAGCUGGGUCUAGUAUUAAAUAUGGAGGUCUGACACCAUCUGGGGCCGGUUCUGUGCUAUGCAGACACUGUUCAAAAGGAGUUCAGCAGCUUUGUGGCCAAGCGUGAAGAUGACAGUGUUGAAAAUGAAAAUCUUAGAUCAUAAAUAAUUGCCUUGUGAACCAAAUUGUGACGGUUUGAGCCAGUGGAAGUGACUUCAAUAGUGCAAGAGUAUCAAUCUGUUCUCUUGGAAGCAUUCCAGAAGCACUAAAAUUGUCCAUAAAGUGAUGUUUUGAAGACUAGUCCAGCUGUUUCCAGUGCCUACCUUUCAUUCCUCAGAGUGGACGGCCUCCUUUUUGAAUGUUGCUGCAUGGAGGUAAAUAAGUUAAAUCAUGGACAAAAAUCUCUUCUGUAUUGUUUCGUACCUGUUUUUAAUGAACAACCUUUCAGACAUAAACAAAGUCAUAUUCAUAAAUUUAGAUAAACAAAAUCUGAUCAGCUUGCUGUGUAACUUUUGGAUCAAUACAUGUACGGUCAGGAGAGAGAUGAUUCAUUCUUCAGUAGUUUCAAAUAGAUGGAAGUUUGAAUUUGCUAUUGUUUGGGAUCUCCAACAGGAACUCAAUGCUCCAGACAAGCAUUUUCAAAGAUAGCUAUCUGCUGCAGUCAGAAGAAGACUGGCAAACUGUGAUCAUGACUGGAGAGAGAACUUGAAAACUGAGCUCAUAAAUACACUGAAGCUAAAAAAGAAUCAAGGCGAAAAGAAUACCAUGUAUUAACGUUUUCAAAACAUCAAGCUGUGGAGUGUGAAUUCUGCUUGUUGUUUGUUUGUGGAAGCUGGAAUGUCAUUUCAGUUCAUUUUGAAAGUUGUGUAUGAGAAGAUUGACAAAGGUUUGGUAGUGACAACAAGAGAUCAGAAAUUUUUCCUUUGUCUUCCCUGUUGGACCGAUCCUUGUUUGCAAGGCAGUGUUCAAAUUCUCCUCUGUGUAAUAGAUUAGGAAUGUCCAUGCCCUCAGUAUUACUCCGGCUUCAAACUGAAAUUGGAUAGGAAUGGAAGGGAUUCUGGCAUACUGCCAUUUCUUGUUAUACUACUUUGGCCUUACAAAAUAUUUCAGCCAAAUAGUUGAUUAUUUAAACAUCUGAACCAUUCCCAUGCAAAUAAUGUCUGUUCUUGGUAUCUGUGGCUAUUUUAAUGAAUCAGUUCUGAUUGGCACAUUGUUAAGACAUGUUUACGAAUAAGGUGGUGAGAAGAUUAGUAACAGAGGAGAACUUGUAGCACUAUUAGAAAUGAUCGGAAAAUAUGAGUUUAGAUGGAACAUGAGGUUAGGUAGUCCAAACUUAAACCAAGGUCAACAC